rnacentral:rRNA from 1 species
GAUGAACGCUGGCGGCGUGCCUAAUACAUGCAAGUCGAGCGAAUGGAUUAAGAGCUUGCUCUUAUGAAGUUAGCGGCGGACGGGUGAGUAACACGUGGGUAACCUGCCCAUAAGACUGGGAUAACUCCGGGAAACCGGGGCUAAUACCGGAUAACAUUUUGAACCGCAUGGUUCGAUAUUGAAAGGCGGCUUCGGCUGUCACUUAUGGAUGGACCCGCGUCGCAUUAGCUAGUUGGUGAGGUAACGGCUCACCAAGGCAACGAUGCGUAGCCGACCUGAGAGGGUGAUCGGCCACACUGGGACUGAGACACGGCCCAGACUCCUGCGGGAGGCAGCAGUAGGGAAUCUUACGCAAUGGACGAAAGUCUGACGGAGCAACGCCGCGUGAGUGAUGAAGGCUUUCGGGUCGUAAAACUCUGUUGUUAGGGAAGAACAAGUGCUAGUUGAAUAAGCUGGCACCUUGACGGUACCUAACCAGAAAGCCACGGCUAACUACGUGCCAGCCGCCGCAGUAA